rnacentral:miRNA from 1 species
UUUAAUACCAGUGCCAAUCAAUU